GUCAUUUUAGAGAAAAGAUUCAUUCAACGUUUUCUUUUCGUGCUAUGAAACAAGAAAAAAGACAAAACAAAAAGGGUAGGGGGUUCAACUAUCUUGGCCGGGCUGUCGCACGCCUCCUAUUCACAAGUGCUAUCCCACUACUGUUUGACGCGGGAACUUUUGUCUGCUAUGUUUUCAUCCUGGACCGGUACGUUCCUCUUUAUUCAACCUGGUGGACGAAGGUUCCCCUAGGUUCACCAUAUUGACGCCCAACUUAGUGUGGACACCCGAUCGACAUAGGUCGACGUACGACAGGAGUCCCGACCUCAAGUCAUUCGACACUA